rnacentral:rRNA from 1 species
CGGCGCACGGGUGCGUAACGCGUAUGCAACCUACCUUAAUCUGGGGGAUAGCCCGAAGAAAUUCGGAUUAACACCGCAUAAAAUCACAACCCGGCAUCGGGAAAUGAUCAAAUAUUUAUAGGAUUGAGAUGGGCAUGCGUGACAUUAGUUAGUUGGAGAGGUAACGGCUCACCAAGACUACGAUGUCUAGGGGAUCUGAGAGGAUGACCCCCCACACUGGUACUGAGACACGGACCAGACUCCUACGGGAGGCAGCAGUAAGGAAUAUUGGUCAAUGGAGGCAACUCUGAACCAGCCAUGCCGCGUGCAGGAAGACGGCCCUACGGGUUGUAAACUGCUUUUGUCGGGGAAUAAACCUCUUUACGUGUAAAGAGUUGAAUGUACUCGAAGAAUAAGGAUCGGCUAACUCCGUGCCAGCAGCCGCGGUAAUACGGAGGAUCCAAGCGUUAUCCGGAAUCAUUGGGUUUAAAGGGUCCGUAGGCGGUCAGGUAAGUCAGUGGUGAAAGCCCAUCGCUCAACGGUGGAACGGCCAUUGAUAC